GACGAACGCUGGCGGCGUGCUUAACACAUGCAAGUCGAGCGGUAAGGCCCUUUCGGGGGUACACGAGCGGCGAACGGGUGAGUAACACGUGGGUGACCUGCCCUCAGCUCUGGGAUAAGCCCGGGAAACUGGGUCUAAUACUGGAUAUGACUCCAUGACGCAUGUUGUGGGGUGGAAAGCCUUGUGCGGCUGAGGAUGGGCCCGCGGCCUAUCAGCUUGUUGGUGGGGNGAUGGCCUACCAAGGCGACGACGGGUAGCCGGCCUGAGAGGGCGACCGGCCACACUGGGACUGAGACACGGCCCAGACUCCUACGGGAGGCAGCAGUGGGGAAUCUUGCGCAAUGGGCGAAAGCCUGACGCAGCGACGCCGCGUGAGGGAUGACGGCCUGG
rnacentral:rRNA from 1 species